UACGGGGGGAGCAAGCGUUGUUCGGAUUUACUGGGCGUAAAGGGCGCGUAGGCGGUCGUGACAGGUCACUUGUGAAAUCUCCGGGCUUAACUCGGAACGGGCAAGUGAUACUGUCGGACUAGAGUACAGAAGGGGCAACUGGAAUUCUCGGUGUAGCGGUGAAAUGCGUAGAUAUCGAGAGGAACACCGGCGGCGAAGGCGGGUUGCUGGGCUGAUACUGACGCUGAGGCGCGAAAGCCAGGGGAGCGAACGGG
rnacentral:rRNA from 1 species